GACAGAGGGUGCAAACGUUGUUCGGAAUUACUGGGCGUAAAGCGAGUGUAGGCGGUUUGGUAAGUCGGAUGUGAAAUCCCCGAGCUCAACUCGGGAACUGCGUCCGAUACUGGCAGGCUUGAAUCCGGGAGAGGGAUGCGGAAUUCCAGGUGUAGCGGUGAAAUGCGUAGAUAUCUGGAGGAACACCGGUGGCGAAGGCGGCAUCCUGGACCGGCAUUGACGCUGAGGCGCGAAAGCCAGGGGAGCAAACGGG
rnacentral:rRNA from 1 species